UACGUAGGGGGCUAGCGUUGUCCGGAUUAUUGGGCGUAAAGAGCGUGUAGGCGGCCAAGUAGGUCCGGUGUGAAAACUCGAGGCUUAACCUCGAGAUGUCAUCGGAAACCAUUUGGCUAGAGUCCGGAAGAGGAAAGUGGAAUUCCUGGUGUAGCGGUGAAAUGCGCAGAGUAUCAGGAGGAACACCAAUGGCGAAGGCAGCUCGCUGGGACGGUUACUGACGACUGGAGAACGCGAAAGCGUCGGGGAGCAAACAGG
rnacentral:rRNA from 1 species